rnacentral:rRNA from 1 species
GAGGAAUCUUGGUCAAUGGCCUAACGGCUGAACUGGCAACUUGGAGAAGUGGUAAGUUUUAUAAUUAAUAGAUAUUGGCGACGCAAGCGAGCUAUUAAUAUAAAAUUCUAUUAGAAUUGAAUGAAGCUUUGUUUAUAUAUUGAUAAUGACAGUAUAUAUAUUGUGUCUUGACCAAUUACGUGCCAGCAGUCGCGGUAAUACGUAAGAGACUAGUGUUAUUCAUCUUAAUUAGGUUUAAAGGGUACCCAGACGGUCAAUAUAGCUUCUAUAAUGUUAGUACUUGACUAGAGUUUUAUGUAAGAGGGCAGUACUUGAGGAGGAGAGAUGAAAUUCCGUGAUACCAAAGGGACUCUGUAAAGGCGAAGGCAGCCCUCUAUGUAUAAACUGACGUUGAAGGACGAAGGCACAGAGAACAAACAGGAUUAGAUACCCUAAUAGUCUUUGCAGUAAAUGAUGAAUGCCAUAGGUCAGUGUGGGAUUAUAAGAGUAAUAGUACUCUUCCCUUGGUCUAUAAAUGAAAGUGUAAGCAUUUCACCUCAAGAGUAAUGUGGCAACGCAGGAACUGAAAUCACUAGACCGUUUCUGACACCAGUAGU